rnacentral:rRNA from 1 species
AAGCGGAGGAAAAGAAACCAACAGGGAUUACCUCAGUAACGGCGAGUGAAGCGGUAACAGCUCAAAUUUGAAAGCUGCCAACAGGCCGCGUUGUAAUUUGUAGAAGAUGCUUUGGGUUUCGGCCUAGUCUAAGUUCCUUGGAACAGGACGUCAUAGAGGGUGAGAAUCCCGUAUGUGAUUAGUGCCGGCGCCCGUGUAAAGCUCUUUCGACGAGUCGAGUUGUUUGGGAAUGCAGCUCAAAAUGGGUGGUAAAUUUCAUCUAAAGCUAAAUAUUGGCCAGAGACCGAUAGCGCACAAGUAGAGUGAUCGAAAGAUGAAAAGCACUUUGGAAAGAGAGUUAAACAGUACGUGAAAUUGUUGAAAGGGAAGCGCUUGCAAUCAGACUUGCGGGCAGUUGAUCAUCCGGGGAUCUCUCCGGUGCACUCGAUUGUCCUCAGGCCAGCAUCGGUUUCAGUGGUGGGAUAAAGGCUGUGAGAAUGUGGCUCUUCGGAGUGUUAUAGCUCACGGUGCAAUGCCGCCUACUGGGACCGAGGACCGCGCUUCGGCUAGGAUGCUGGCGUAAUGGUUGUAAGCGACCCGUCUUGAAACACGGACCAAGGAGUCUAACAUCUAUGCGAGUGUUUGGGUGUCAAACCCAUACGCGUAAUGAAAGUGAACGGAGGUGAGAACCCAUUAGGGCGCAUCAUCGACCGAUCCUGAUGUCUUCGGAUGGAUUUGAGUAAGAGCAUAGCUGUUGGGACCCGAAAGAUGGUGAACUAUGCGUGAAUAGGGUGAAGCCAGAGGAAACUCUGGUGGAGGCUCGCAGCGGUUCUGACGUGCAAAUCGAUCGUCAAAUUUGCGUAUAGGGGCGAAAGACUAAUCGAACCA